UACGUAGGGUGCGAGCGUUGUCCGGAAUUAUUGGGCGUAAAGGGCUCGUAGGCGGUUUGUCGCGUCGGGAGUGAAAUCCACUGGCUUAACUGGUGGGUUGCUUUCGAUACGGGCAGACUGGAGGUAUGCAGGGGAGAACGGAAUUCCUGGUGUAGCGGUGAAAUGCGCAGAUAUCAGGAGGAACACCGGUGGCGAAGGCGGUUCUCUGGGCAUGUCCUGACGCUGAGGGACGAAAGCUAGGGGAGCGAACGGG
rnacentral:rRNA from 1 species